GAGGCGGCGGCGGGAGGGAGGGACGCGCAGGCUUUUGUGGCGCAGCCGCCUCUCGCCUCUCCCGCCCCAGCCGGCAGCCCGAGGCCUGCAGCCUGGCCCGGCCGGACUCUGCGCCUCGACUCACCCCUGUCCUUGGCAGGUCCCCAUCGCGCUCCGGAGGGAACCCCCGACCCCGGAGCCUAGUCACCUCCUUCUUCGUACAGGGGGCUCCAGCCAGCCGCUGCCGGCUUCCUCUCGCACCGGCCAGCAGAGGCCUGGCGGCGUCUACCUGGGGACGCAGGGAUCGUGCACCCCUCGGCACCCUGAAGAUCCCGUCCCAGGCCGAGGCUGCUCGCGUGGCCUCUCGCCUAGUCGCCUCCUCAGCCAAGCAUCGAGCCGGAUCCGGGAGCGCUUAGGUUUGGAAGUACCCGGAGGCCCCGAGAUGAGCCUUCUGCCCCACGUCCGCAGAGGAGAUUGCUGGGCCUUGUGUGUUCGGACCUUCCAUGCCUGAGAACGCCUCGGCUCUAGCCGCCAGUCCCUGGAAACCAGGUGUCAAUUGCCUUGGUGGAUUGGUCAAGACCUCCUUUUCUUGGAUGGUCCCUUCACCAACCACCUCCUUAAAGUCUCAAUGCACGUGCAGAAUCCCUGGCAUCACCCAUGCAGAUCCCAUGUGCGGCAGGAGGACAGAGAAGAGAGACAGAGACAGAAACAAGCAGGGCAACCAGAUGGAGCCUGCACAAAGCAAUUUUGGUUUUCCAGGGAAGGAAUUGCUUUUGGAUGAGGCCCUCAAGAGAUCCUCAUGUACAAACAGCCACGGCUCAGAUUGAGGACAUUUGAGUUAGCUUCCCAUUAGAUUGGUUUAAGUUUUUUUUCAAGUCUAUAAUUUUUAUCUGGGGGAUGAUUGGCCUGAGGUGUUUCCCUUUCUAAAGAGUAAUUUCCUGCUAUGGUUUCAGAGAGGUUUGCCUU